CAAUAGGGAUGGUUUAGGGCAUUGGGAUUCUGUUGUGAGAGGUGCAAUUCUUGGAUUGGCUGAAACCGAACUGCUGCGAAAGCCUUGU
rnacentral:rRNA from 1 species